rnacentral:rRNA from 1 species
GAUUUAACUGGAGAGUUUGAUCCUGGCUCAGAACGAACGCUGGCGGUAUGCCUAACACAUGCAAGUCGAGCGCGAAGCUCCUCUUCGGAGGAGUGUUAGAGCGGCGAACGGGUGCGUAACACGUG